GUCUCUCAUAGAUGCACAUGGUUUGUAAUCAACCACCUGAAUCUUGUCAGAAAUCACAUUCCUCAGUCAGUUUUGCUCUCUCUGUAGGUUUUCAAGCAGACAAACACUUUCUAUAAGUGAGCAGACUCCAGUUCGUCCUUCAAAUGCCGGAUCUCGUUGUGGGCCAUGGCCAGCCUGCGGGAACCUUCUUCCACAUCCCGCUCCAGUCGGGAACACUCCUUCUCCAAACGUCUUGGUUCACCGGCCAAAGGUGUCUCCCCACCCUGGAAGGGGAUGAAGACACAUGCUUCCAAAAUGGACAAAACUUAAGCAAUUUAAAUGUUGGCAAAUAACAAAGAAAGACUUGAGUAAAACUAAGCGGAGACAGAGACAACACCUUGAGAUACGAUCUGGAGAAAGAUGCAUGAGUGGUGUUGGAACUUGAAGUUCUGCCAUGCAAAGUUUAUCUGCUGCUUGUAGGCAAGAUUAGUAUCACUGGAAAAGACAAAACAAAGAGUGAUGUUAGGGAAUCCAAAAAACUGGCAUGCAGAAGAUGCCCACAAAGUCAGCGUCAUGAUCAUCCAAAUGACAAAACAGCAGUUUCAUAGUUUGUUAGUCCAUGCAGAAUAUACUGCUGCUUACUAUGACAGUGCUGUUACAAGAUCAAUAAAGAUAUUUUACAGACUU